rnacentral:rRNA from 1 species
UACGUAGGGUGCAAGCGUUGUCCGGAAUUAUUGGGCGUAAAGAGCUCGUAGGCGGUUUGUCGCGUCGGCUGUGAAAACUCGGGGCUCAACCCCGAGCCUGCAGUCGAUACGGGCAGACUAGAGUGCUGUAGGGGAGACUGGAAUUCCUGGUGUAGCGGUGAAAUGCGCAGAUAUCAGGAGGAACACCGGUGGCGAAGGCGGGUCUCUGGGCAGUAACUGACGCUGAGGCGCGACAGCGUGGGGAGCAAACAGG